UACGGGGGGGGCAAGCGUUGUUCGGAAUUACUGGGCGUAAAGCGUGCGCAGGCGGUUUUGUAAGCCAGAUGUGAAAUCCCCGGGCUCAACCUGGGAAUGGCAUUUGGGACUGCAAGGCUGGAGUUUGGCAGAGGAGACUGGAAUUCCAGGUGUAGCGGUGAAAUGCGUAGAUAUCUGGAGGAACACCGGUGGCGAAGGCGGCAUCCUGGACCGGCAUUGACGCUGAGGAGCGAAAGCCAGGGGAGCAAACGGG
rnacentral:rRNA from 1 species